rnacentral:rRNA from 1 species
UGGGGAAUAUUGGACAAUGGGCGAAAGCCUGAUCCAGCCAUGCCGCGUGUGUGAAGAAGGUCUUCGGAUUGUAAAGCACUUUAAGUUGGGAGGAAGGGCAGUUACCUAAUACGUGAUUGUUUUGACGUUACCGACAGAAUAAGCACCGGCUAACUCUGUGCCAGCAGCCGCGGUAAUACAGAGGGUGCAAGCGUUAAUCGGAAUUACUGGGCGUAAAGCGCGCGUAGGUGGUUUGUUAAGUUGGAUGUGAAAGCCCCGGGCUCAACCUGGGAACUGCAUCCAAAACUGGCAAGCUAGAGUACGGUAGAGGGUGGUGGAAUUUCCUGUGUAGCGGUGAAAUGCGUAGAUAUAGGAAGGAACACCAGUGGCGAAGGCGACCACCUGGACUGAUACUGACACUGAGGUGCGAAAGCGUGGGGAGCAAACAGGAUUAGAUACCCCAGUAGUCCCUGAGCGGGCUGGCAAGGCGCAU